CCUACGGGAGGCAGCAGUAGGGAAUAUUGGGCAAUGGAGGCAACUCUGACCCAGCCAUGCCGCGUGCAGGAAGAAGGCGUUAUGCGUUGUAAACUGCUUUUAUAUAGGAAGAAAUAGACCUUGCGAGGUAAGUUGACGGUACUAUAUGAAUAAGCACCGGCUAACUCCGUGCCAGCAGCCGCGGUAAUACGGAGGGUGCAAGCGUUGUCCGGAUUUAUUGGGUUUAAAGGGUGCGUAGGCGGUUUAUUAAGUCAGUGGUGAAAGACGGUCGCUCAACGAUUGCAGUGCCAUUGAUACUGGUAGACUUGAGUGGGAUUGAGGUAGCUGGAAUGGAUAGUGUAGCGGUGAAAUGCAUAGAUAUUAUCCAGAACACCAAUUGCGUAGGCAAGUUACUAAGUCUCAACUGACGCUGAGGCACGAAAGUGUGGGUAUCAAACAGGAUUAGAUACCCUGGUAGUCCACACUGUAAACGAUGAUAACUAACUGUUGGCUUUCGGGUCAGUGGUACAGAGAAAUCGUUAAGUUAUCCACCUGGGGAGUACGCCGGCAACGGUGAAACGUUAAAGGAAUUGACGGCUGAGAGNGCGAGACGACGACGAGGGAGGAGG
rnacentral:rRNA from 1 species